CUGGGGGGCCCAGCAUAUGGUAUGUGUCAGGAGAGGGACAGAGCUGUUCUCUCCUCCUGGGCCCUGGAGGAGGCAGUUAGGUGAGAAAACAGGGAAUUAGUCAAUUCCUCACAAUUUGCUGGCAAAUUCUGUUCUAAACUUCACUAUGGCCUUGAGAAAAUCAUUGGGCAAGAAAGGGUCAAGCCCACCCCCACCCCCUACCAUGUGGUACACAUGUGGAUUCAGGGCGUGGUUGUGACCAGGACUCCCAGGCCAUUAAGGGGUGGGGUGAGGUCAGUUGUUCAACCCUUUAUUGAGCUCCUCCUGUAUGCUGAGUGCUGUGCAUGCAUACAACUGUUCCUUCCCAUAGCAACCCUAUAAUAGAGGUGCCAUCACCAUCCCCUCUGGCAGAUGAGGGUGCAGAGAGGCCGAGUAACAUGCCAGGCUCACUUAGCUCAUCAGGCUCUGAGCUUAGAGCCUGGGACAAUGUAAAGGCAAUGACCACGCGGUGCUUGGGCUGCAGGAACAGAGGAGGGACACCUAAUCCAGCCAGACUGUGGCCCUGGGGUUCACAUCCUGACUCCGCGAGGUCUUCAGGAAUCAGGUAAAGAAGGGAAACGGUGCUCCUGGAAGAGGGGAUGGCACGGAGAAAAGAGGCGAGGGGAGAAUACUAGGCCUGUCUGGGAAACUACAUGCAUUUGCCAAGGCCUGCAAAAUAUCCCAGGGUUGCAGGGCAGAGGCCUAAGAGGUGAGCAGGGGCCAAGCAGGUUGUGCCGGGACCAGACUUUCCUCCGAGAGUAGUGGAGAGCCACCGCAUGGACUACGCAUGAGAGUGGCUCAUAGACGUCACCUUUAUAAGGUCACUGGCCACAGCAUGACAUGGACGGGGUUAGCAAAGGAGCGGCCUGGAGAUAGGGAGACCAGUGCAGAGGCUGUCGGGAGUUCCCAGGAGGGAGGUGAUGGGGGCCAGCAUGAAGUCACGGAGUAGGACAGCUCAGAGCAGCUGCUGUCCACUUCAGUGACCGCCAUGGACACUCCUCUCCCUGGUCAAGGGUGCAAAACUCCAGUGGAAUGUACCAGAGUGCAAGGAAUUCCUUAUUUCUUCCGGGACUAUUCCAGACAUCCUCAGCUCCUGCUUUGGUAAAAGUUAAAUCGGAAUAUUAUGAUAAAAAUGAGCAGCACACCAAGUGCUGCAGGUACUAUGCCGGGGCUUUCCUGUUUAUUCUCCUUCCUUCCUCCCAAUGAGCCCAGAAGGCAAGAAUUGUUAUCAUCCCCGUCUUAAAGGUCGCCCGGGUGGAGAGCCCGCUCCGUGUCAGGCGAGCACGGUGCUAGGAGCGGGCGUUGCCGUGGAAAGGGAGUAAACCGCUCUCGUGGGCUCAUGUCUCAGCUCCCAGGGACGUGAAGUCUCCCCUUGAGCUAGGGGGGUGAAGACAGAGCGGGCUGCCCACAGAAGAAUGCGCGUGCUCGCUGGCUGUCUGACAGUCACCUCGGAAGAUUUCUGAAGAAGUAACAACCAGCUCUCAAGAGCCAGGAUCGGAUAGCUCCAGCCUGCCCGUGUCUCCAGGGCCUGGCCCAGAGGGGUCCACGGUGCCUAUCGAAUGGCUGGAAAUCAAUGCCAGCAUUCUAACGACGAAGCCACUUUUCCAUGCUUCCUUCAUUGUUUCAUUCAGUUCCGUGAAACACCAGUCUGUUUCCACCUCCUGGGCGCCAAGGACUUUGUUAGGCAAACUGGUUCUCCCUUAUCCGCGGGGGGAUACGUUCCAAGACCCCCAGUGGACAUCUGAGACCACGGGUAGUACCGAACCCCAUAGAGACCGUUUUUUCCUGUAUAUACACACCGACGAUAAAGUUGAAUUUAUCAGGCCCUGUAAGAGAUUAACAACAAUGACAAAUUAUAACCCAGAACAAUUACAACAAUACACUGUAAUAAAAGUUAUGUGAGGGGCACCUGGGUGACUCUGUCGGUUAAGCG